rnacentral:rRNA from 1 species
GCUUAACACAUGCAAGUCGAGGGGCAGCAUUUCAGUUUGCUUGCAAACUGGAGAUGGCGACCGGCGCACGGGUGAGUAACACGUAUCCAACCUGCCGAUAACUCGGGGAUAGCCUUUCGAAAGAAAGAUUAAUACCCGAUGGUAUAAUCAGACCGCAUGGUCUUGUUAUUAAAGAAUUUCGGUUAUCGAUGGGGAUGCGUUCCAUUAGGCAGUUGGUGAGGUAACGGCUCACCAAACCUUCGAUGGAUAGGGGUUCUGAGAGGAAGGUCCCCCACAUUGGAACUGAGACACGGUCCAAACUCCUACGGGAGGCAGCAGUGAGGAAUAUUGGUCAAUGGGCGCAGGCCUGAACCAGCCAAGUAGCGUGAAGGAUGACUGCCCUAUGGGUUGUAAACUUCUUUUAUAUGGGAAUAAAGUUUUCCACGUGUGGAAUUUUGUAUGUACCAUAUGAAUAAGGAUCGGCUAACUCCGUGCCAGCAGCCGCGGUAAUACGGAGGAUCCGAGCGUUAUCCGGAUUUAUUGGGUUUAAAGGGAGCGUAGGUGGACAGUUAAGUCAGUUGUGAAAGUUUGCGGCUCAACCGUAAAAUUGCAGUUGAUACUGGCUGUCUUGAGUACAGUAGAGGUGGGCGGAAUUCGUGGUGUAGCGGUGAAAUGCUUAGAUAUCACGAAGAACUCCGAUUGCGAAGGCAGCUCACUGGACUGCAACUGACACUGAUGCUCGAAAGUGUGGGUAUCAAACAGGAUUAGAUACCCUGGUAGUCCACACAGUAAACGAUGAAUACUCGCUGUUUGCGAUAUACAGUAAGCGGCCAAGCGAAAGCAUUAAGUAUUCCACCUGGGGAGUACGCCGGCAACGGUGAAACUCAAAGGAAUUGACGGGGGCCCGCACAAGCGGAGGAACAUGUGGUUUAAUUCGAUGAUACGCGAGGAACCUUACCCGGGCUUAAAUUGCAUUUGAAUAUAUUGGAAACAGUAUAGCCGUAAGGCAAAUGUGAAGGUGCUGCAUGGUUGUCGUCAGCUCGUGCCGUGAGGUGUCGGCUUAAGUGCCAUAACGAGCGCAACCCUCAUCUUUAGUUACUAACAGGUCAUGCUGAGGACUCUAGAGAGACUGCCGUCGUAAGAUGUGAGGAAGGUGGGGAUGACGUCAAAUCAGCACGGCCCUUACGUCCGGGGCUACACACGUGUUACAAUGGGGGGUACAGAAGGCAGCUACCUGGUGACAGGAUGCUAAUCCCAAAAGCCUCUCUCAGUUCGGAUCGAAGUCUGCAACCCGACUUCGUGAAGCUGGAUUCGCUAGUAAUCGCGCAUCAGCCAUGGCGCGGUGAAUACGUUCCCGGGCCUUGUACACACCGCCCGUCAAGCCAUGAAAGCCGGGGGUACCUGAAGUACGUAACCGCAAGGAGCGUCCUAGGGUAAAACUGGUAAUUGGGGCUAAG